rnacentral:rRNA from 1 species
CCUACGGGUGGCAGCAGUGGGGAAUUUUGGACAAUGGGGGCAACCCUGAUCCAGCCAUGCCGCGUGAGUGAAGAAGGCCUUCGGGUUGUAAAGCUCUUUCGGACGGAACGAAAUCGCUCGGGUGAAUAAUCCGGGUGGAUGACGGUACUGUAAGAAGAAGCACCGGCUAACUACGUGCCAGCAGCCGCGGUAAUACGUAGGGUGCGAGCGUUAAUCGGAAUUACUGGGGGGGAUGUUUGCGCAGGCGGUGAAAUCCCCGGGCUUAACCUGGGAAUUGCGAUUGGGACUGGAUGGCUAGAGUGCGGCAGAGGGAGGUGGAAUUCCACGUGUAGCAGUGAAAUGCGUAGAGAUGUGGAGGAACACCGAUGGCGAAGGCAGCCUCCUGGGCCAGCACUGACGCUCAUGCACGAAAGCGUGGGGAGCAAACAGGAUUAGAUACCCUAGUAGUC